rnacentral:rRNA from 1 species
UACGUAGGGUGCGAGCGUUGUCCGGAAUUAUUGGGCGUAAAGAGCUCGUAGGCGGUUUGUUGCGUCGGCCGUGAAAACUUGGGGCUUAACUCCGAGCUUGCGGUCGAUACGGGCAGACUUGAGUUCGGCAGGGGAGACUGGAAUUCCUGGUGUAGCGGUGAAAUGCGCAGAUAUCAGGAGGAACACCGGUGGCGAAGGCGGGUCUCUGGGCCGAUACUGACGCUGAGGCACGAAAGCGUGGGGAGCAAACAGG